UCUGUUUAGUUCCCCUUUGCAAAUCUUCAAUCUUCUGGAGGUUUGCACAGGUUUCCACAUUCCCAGUGGAGCAAAGCCCAGUUUUGACUUUUAGCAUUUAUUUCCUAUCUUCCACUCAUUCUCUUUUAGCUUGCCCUUUAUUUUACUCUCCUGGACAAUUUCUUUGUCUUAUUCUAUUUUUGUGUUGCUUUCAUCUAUUUCCCAUGUUUUUUUCCUUUUCUGUGCUAUUUAUGCAUUUUCCUGUUUUCCUUUUCAACUCUCUUACUUUAUAUUAUUCUGCACCACCUCUUUGUAUAUCUCCAUGCACUUUGCUUGUACUACUCCAAUCAAAUUCUGAUCACAUCUUUAUAUCAAAGAUGCCAACCCUCCAGGAGGUACUACUUUCAUGUGAUGAAACUUGCUUAUAAUCCUUUCAAAGCUGUAAAAGCCAAGGCUGAAUAUUAACACUCUACAUUAUUGACCUUCUACUUACACAACGCUUCUUUGUCAGUUCCCGACUCGCAAAGUACUUACUGUUCUUAAUGUACCAACUGCAAGCUCAGAGCAAAAAGCACUCAAAUUAACAUUUCCACGUGAGUUCAACAGUGGAAUUUGUUAGAGCGAAAAGGACACAGUGAUAUAUGAUAAAAAUGCUGCAUCCUCAGCGUUCAGUAUAUUUAAUAUAUUGCAUUGCAUACAAUUUUUAUGCUCCUCUUGGCUGCCUCAGUAACCCAGUUUUAUCUCAGGAAUCAAGUUUAACUCAACUUGUAUCUGACUUGCACUCAACAGUUGUAUGUGUGAACAAGCCUUUGUGAGAUGUUUUCAUUCAUCUAAUUUCAUUAUAUAGCUUUAAAUCCAUAACUCAGGCUUUGUGGUGUGCUGCAGUCCCGGGCACUGUCCAAAAUGCUGGUCCUGUUGACUGUGGAUGUGUGCCUGUUGGAAGAGUGGCGUCCGCCCAGGAGACUACAAGGCUGUCAACAUGUCCAACAUGCCACCAGCAUACAAACAUCUCUGCACAGUAUUUCUUAAGAAGUAGUUCAUUUGUCUCAUGUGAUUCACUCACCAACACAACAAAUUGGCGACGAGGAUGCUUCAGUACAGAGUCCACCGCCCUUCCUUCCUCAUGUUGGUGAGCUGCCAAUUCUGUCUGAUAUGUGGCGGAAGAUUUUCAACAGCUACAUGCUAGAGGCAAUGCAUGGCCAGAAGCAAAGAGACAUGCAGUUGUACUACACUUCCUGGGGCCGGAGGGACAACAUCUGUUCUACACCCUGCUGGAACAAGGUACAACAUUUGAGGAGGCCAUGGCUGCCCUCAAGAAGCACUUGUCAAAGUUAAUGUGGUGACAUGUAGACGCACCUUUAGACAAUGAGCGAAUGAAACCAUGUCUCAGUAUGUGGCAGCUUUGAGGGCCUUAGCUAUGUCGUCUACAUUGUUAAAGCUGGAUCACCUUUACUAGGCCUGGACCUGAUGAAAGCACUCAAUGUCAGCAUCAUUAGAGGCAAGGUGAGCUACAUCAAGGAGGAUGAUGCAAACUGCAACCCCUGCUAUCAGACAAAAGUCUGCAGUGUACCAUGUUGACUCUGCUCCACACCAUCAGCUUGGAUGUGUGAAAGGGAUCAUUCACAAGGUACAGGUAAACAGCUCAAAACAGUCUGUAUGUCAAAAGAUGAGAUACCUCCCACUGAGCAUAUGUAGGGAGGUGUCAGGGGAGCUCAACCACUUACUGCGAGCAGGCAUCAUAGAACGUGUGGACGCAUCUGAAUGGGUGAGUCCCCCUAGUGGUGGCAUGGAAACGCAGCUGCGACUGUGUGUUGACCUUAAUGAACCCAAUAAGAAUGUAAUCAUGGACUGUUACUCUCUCCCUCAUAUGGGGAACUUGUUUGCAGAACUAGCUGGUGCUACACACCCAGAUACAGCCACACAGCCAGAUUUACUUGAGUUCAGCUUACCACCAACUACCUCUGCACCCUGAGAGUUACAGUUUAACUGCUUUCAUAACCCAUGAUUGUGUCUACCAAUUCACACCCCUUUGGCCUGGCAUCAGCACCAUCCACUUUCAAUACUGAAGUAAAACACACAUCACAUCACAUUUUCCCGCAGCCUAAUAGUCAUACAUUGUUGAGCCUUUCACUUUUAUUUUGCAUCGUGCUGAGCUCUGGUCACCUCAGAUUGUUUUAGGCUUCGCUGCUUCCCCUUAUUAUCUGUCAACAUUCUCUGUCUUUUAGGCUCACAGGAUAUACAUUUUCUGGCCUGACACUGUAGCACUGCACAGCUCACAGGGAUAUAAAAAUUCAGCUAUACAUGACAAAUUAGUACCUUGCUACCCUGAUAUGUAGCUUUGAAAGAGAGCAGUUUAUACCUACCACUAGUGACUGUUUAUGGCUGUAAGAGUAAGAUGGUAAUUCUUGGAAUUAAUAGUAUUUCCCUGUAAUAAGGGGCAAUUAGGGCAUCUUAGUGAAGUUGUCACUUAGAAAUGCAGUCUGUUGCACUGAUUGAUCUGCAUAAUGACAGUGGUAGAAUUAAUUGAGUCAGUGGAGAUAAAUGAGUGUGCACUGAUCAUCCAGUGACUUUCAAACCAUUGAUUUGUGCCUUAUCUCGGCUAAUAAGAUGCUGUUAGUAGAGAACACUGUGGCAGUGGUUAUUCAGACCUAAGCCACUUAGUAUUACCUGUUCCUUUGGCUGCAACCAUUAACAGUGUAAUUAAUUAACACAAUUAGUAUUAAGAUAGUUAGUGAUAGCAGUAAAAGCAGUAGCAAUGAUGUUUUCAAUUGUAUUUGAUUAUUUCAUGUAAUGAAUAAUACUGCUUAGUAGCAACAACCCUGUCUGGUGUAAAACAUCCAAGAAAUGUUCUUAAUAAUAGUUUUAUAAUAUUAAAUCUUUGCAAAAAAAUAAGACUCAGGAGUUUUGCAUAAAGAAGCUAAAAGUAACUUUUAGCAAAAUCUAAGUACAUUAGACUAAAGAUUUUAUUUUACAAAACAACUCUGGUCUUUUUGCAAAACAGAAUAACUUCUGUUUUCAUCUGGGUUGAUUUCCUCAUAAUAUAUACCAUCCUCCAUAAAGAUCUAUAUUCAUAGUCAUAUGAAAUCUUCUACAAGCACCAUAAGGCCUCAACUGUCUUUUUAUGUUCUUGUGUUCUUUGGGGUCUCCUGGUUUGCACUUCUGUUUAGUCCUUCGGGUCAUAUGGGUUUUCUUUGGUGGUGGGUUUGGACUGCCUUUUGUUGUUUAGCCUGGUGUGUUGUGUACGUUAGUUUGGGUUCAUGAUGGUUCUUGGACAGGUUGGUGUGGGUUGUAUUUAGAGUAUUGUGUUUUUUGGGUUUUGGUUUUGUUACUGUG